CCUCCGUUCAGCUUCCUGAAUCCCUGCAUAUGUGAUUCACUUUUUAUUCUGAACUGUGCCACAAGACCAGAGCUUUUUAGUCCAGUUUUCCAAAAUCCCUUAGUGUGCAGAAGGGGGGAGAUACUCUGUUACACAGCACCUCUGUACCUGAUGCUGCUGAAAUUGGCUGUAAGGCCGUGCAGAAUUGGAGGUAAAGAAUCCUAUUUUCAUAAAAAAUAGAUUCAAGACGUUAUAGCUAUUAAGUUGUAGUAGCUUUAAACAUUUAUACUUUUACAUCUUCCGAAGACCUGAAGGCUGAAAUCUUUCAUUGCUAGCCGUUCUUAGGCCUAAAAAAUGCUUAGGAAAGAAGUCUGUGGUUCCAUCUUCUGAUGUGACCAUUACAGGGGGAAAAGCUGGGGUAGGCAGUAUUAAAUAUGAAAUGAAAAGCAGCAAAGAAAGUGCCACAUUGCAUUAAAUCUUUUUACUUAAA